CCAUGAGUCACCACCACCCUCGCCACAUCCCACCAGCGCUGGUGCCCACCAUGCCCUCCGACGCCAAGCUCUCCACACGGCUGGUCACCUUCCCACAACCCCUCCCUGUCGGUGCCAGCUGAGCCUGGAUUCCGGGACUGGCCCCAGCCCAAGGCAGCCUCCCUGCCCUAGCCAGUGCCUGGCUCGGAUGGGUGCAGGCCCCAUAGCCAUGGAGGCAGAAACAAGGCUGGGCUGAGGGGCUCAGAGGAGGGGCCGAGCACACAUGGACCUCCCUGGCAUCAGAGACCCUGGGCUGGGCGGCUGCUGGCGAAAGGCCCAGAGACCCC
rnacentral:lncRNA from 1 species